rnacentral:lncRNA from 1 species
UUGGGCGAAGGCCGCCUCCAGCCAGCCGUGCCUACGGACACGUUUCGGCUCCAGUUCUCCCCUCUGGUUUGCCUCCAGCUCUUGCGGACAACAUCAGCCCUCUGGGGACUUGGACUGAUUCUCCAGUUAGCGCAUACCUGUCCCACUCCUGUCUGCAAGAUUUGGAGCCCUGUCUGUGCUUCCAGUUCAGACUUCACCAGCCCUGCAGGGAGGACAAAGGCCCCUCCAGCCACCUCCUUGCUCAAGCUGCUUUCUAGAUCUCGGCCACUGCCCUAGCAAGAUGCCAGCCCCACCUGAUGUUGAUGAAGCUGCCUGAGGACAUGUGCACAUGCUCAGCCAGGAUCUCCAGCAGCUUCACUCCUGCAGCCAGGCUCAGGGGCCUGGAGAUGGGAGAAGGCAGAGGAAGGGACCACUGCAGUGCUGGGUACAGAGAGGACACCAGAGCAUCUGAGACAAGACAACCACAGAUUCAUCAGCCUCACCAUUGCUAGAGUUGUAGAGAAAGGCUGCCUACCUGUCCCUUGGACGGGGCUCUGGGGGGCGAAGCCUGGGGAUGCGCUCCAUCUCCUGAGAGAUCACAUACUGGGUGAGGUCAUCGUGCCAGGACAAUCCUGUCAGGAAAGAGGACAGCGUACAGCUAUUGGAGCCAGACCACCUGGGUUUGAAUCCUGCCUUUGCUACUGAUGAAUUAUGUAACCUUGGGCAAGUUGCUGAACCUCUCCAAGCCUCAAUUCCCUCAUCAAUAAAAUGGGGAUUUAUACCUCCUAGGAUUGUUAUUAUCAUUAAAAUAACACAUAUACAUAUCAAA